UACUUUCUUCAGGGAUGGGUGAAAUUCCCUAUCGGCGGUAAAGCCCGCGAGCCGUUAAGGUAGGAUUCGGUGAAACUCCGAGGCCGACAGUGAUAGUCUGGAUGGAAGAGGAAAAGU
rnacentral:ncRNA from 2 species